UACGAAGGGGGCUAGCGUUGUUCGGAAUUACUGGGCGUAAAGCGCGCGCAGGUGGUCUUUCAAGUCAGUGGUGAAAGCCCGGAGCUCAACUCCGGAAAUGCCAUUGAAACUGUGAGACUUGAGGACGAGAGAGGUGAGUGGAAUUCCCAGUGUAGAGGUGAAAUUCGUAGAUAUUGGGAAGAACACCGGUGGCGAAGGCGGCUCACUGGCUCGUAUCUGACGCUCAGGCGCGACAGCGUGGGGAUCAAACGGG
rnacentral:rRNA from 1 species